UGGUCGCGUCGGUCCGUCGGGAAAUCCACCCGCCCAACGGGUGGGCGUCCGACGGAUACCACGUGACUAGGGACCGGGAGACCCAAGGGGUACGUCCGGGGUAGGAGUGAAAUCCCGUAAUCCUGGACGGACCGCCGAUGGCGAAAGCACCUUGGGAGAACGGAUCCGACAGUGAGGGACGAAAGCUCGGGUCUCGAACCGGAUUAGAUACCCGGGUAGUCCGAGCCGUAAACGAUGCCAGUUAGGUGUGUCUCCCACUACGAGUGGGUGAUGUGCCGAAGGGAAGCCGCUAAACUGGCCGCCUGGGAA
rnacentral:rRNA from 1 species